rnacentral:rRNA from 1 species
GACGAACGCUGGCGGCGUGCUUAACACAUGCAAGUCGAACGGUGAAGCCCUUCGGGGUGGAUCAGUGGCGAACGGGUGAGUAACACGUGGGAAAUCUGCCCUGCACUCUGGGACAAGCCUUGGAAACGAGGUCUAAUACCGGAUAUGACCUUCUCCUGCAUGGGGGUUGGUGGAAAGCUCCGGCGGUGCAGGAUGAUCCCGCGGACUAUCAGCUUGGUGGUGGGGUAAUGGCCUACCAAGGCGACGACGGGUAGCCGGCCUGAGAGGGCGACCGGCCACACUGGGACUGAGACACGGGCCAGACGCCUACGGGAGGCAGGAGUGGGGAAUAUUGCACAAAGGGCGCAAGCCUGAUGCAGCGAAGCCGGGUGAGGGAUGACGGCCUUCGGGUUGUAAACCUCUUUCAGCAGGGAAGAAGCGCAAGUGACGGUACCUGCAGAAGAAGCACCGGCUAACUACGUGCCAGCAGCCGCCGUAACAC